AGGAGAAGCAGCCAUGCCUUGAAGAGCCACGUGUAGUGUUGGGCCAGGGGACCCCCCACCCCAGCUCCUGACCACUGGGGCUGAGGGCUUCUUUCCUUUCCCGGCCCUAACUUGGUGGGACUCGGCACGGAUUUGUAGCUGAGCCAGGAUGCUGAGUUAAGACUGUGCUGCCUUCCCACUGUUGGGGAGGAAAACGGUAGCGAGGUGCCCGAUUGGCCACCUAGAGGGCUGGAAUCAGCAGACAGACACAGCACUGGAGCCAAGCCAGCGCAAGUCGAGGGGUAACCGGAGAGAGCCAAGCUGAAGAGCCCUGACCUUUGGAGAGGUGGCUGCAGCAUACAGUCAUGAGUUUUCCAGUCAACCUCAUCGCCUUUUCCCACCGUGGGGGAGGAAGAGUGGUGAGAAGCUGGCUGGACCCUGCAGCAGCAGCGAAUCAGACCAGUGAAUCCGAGAACAGAGAGAAAGAGAGAGAGAGGCAGUCAGUUGGACUCAGUUCUAGGGUAAGAAAUUGAACUAAACUAAAAGCCUUAGUUUAAUUGACCUCCUCCUUGACCCCGGGAAGGAGGGGUGGAAAUCCCUGAGAGCUCGCUCCCCAGGGGCCGGAAUCUCUGAAUGCGAAAGAAGAGCAGGGGAUAAGGACUUUAACUCCUUGCAUUUUGUGCUGCAGAAGAAAGAAGAAUUCUAGCUGUGACAAAGCAAAACUGCUGCCUUAAAAAUAAGAGACACCACUGCUGGAGAAAAUUAAUUUGGAAGAGCUGUGGCCUGAAAGUGAAAAGAGGACUUCUCCUUUCUUUCUGGACUCUUUUUUGAAGGAAAGGAAAGAUGAUCUACGUAUAUCUAUUGUUUCACUAUAGAAGAGAUAGUUAAAAUUGUUAUAUAUAUUUAUAUAUGUAUAUGUUAAUAAUAAACUGUAAUAUAUUCCCUUCCCCC